GACGAACGCUGGCGGCGUGCCUAACACAUGCAAGUCGAGCGGGGAUAUAUGCUGGAGCGCUUCGGUGUGAAGGGAUAUAUCCUAGCGGCGGACGGGUGAGUAACGCGUGGGGAACCUGCCCUUAAGUUCGGGAUACCAACUCGAAAGGGUUGUUAAUACCGGAUGUGCUGCAUUAGCCGCAUGGCGGAUGUAGUAAAGGGGAGACCCGCUUAAGGAUGGCCCUGCGUUCCAUUAGCUAGUUGGUGGGGUAACGGCCUACCAAGGCGACGAUGGAUAGCCGGCCUGAGAGGGCGACCGGCCACACUGGGACUGAGACACGGCCCAGACUCCUACGGGGGGCAGCAGUGGGGAAUCUUGCACAAUGGGCGGAAGCCUGAUGCAGCGACGCCGCGUGAGGGACGAAGGUCUUCGGAUCGUAAACCUCUGUCCAAAGGGACGAAGGAGUGACGGUACCUUUGGAGGAAGCCCCGGCCAACUACGUGCCAGCAGCCGCGGUAA
rnacentral:rRNA from 1 species